rnacentral:tRNA from 2 species
GCCGAUUUAGUUUAGUGGUAAAACAAGACAAUGGUAAUGUCUAGAGAGCAGUUCGAUUCUGCUAUUCGGCACCA